UGCCCAGCAACUCCUAUUCCUACCCUCGUGGUACCGACCGGAAACUAUGAGCAACCUUAGGGAAGAUCGGUUAACCAACCCCGGUCGUAGGCUGACAGGGAAGG
rnacentral:ribozyme from 1 species